AUGUUGUAAUUCAAGUUGUAGAUGGUUGUUAUGAUUCAAGGCUUAUAACGCUUUAAGCAACAAAUCUCCAACGAGGAAAAGUGAAUGAAAAUACUCCAGGAACUGCCUGUUGAAAAAGUGGGCGGGCGCUCGGGAACAGCCACUCGCACUCAACCCAGGAAAGCCAGCAGAGUUGAUGUUUCAUAUUGUUGUCUUUGACAAGACAAAUGAGGUUGAAGUUGUGCCUUCAGUCUGGAUUAAAAAUGCGUGUGUGAGUGCAUGUGGCCUCCAAAUAAAAGUGAUAUAACAAAAGCUGUAAAAUCGCAAGAGAGUCCUGGAGAUGAUUGGAAUCCCCAUAAGGCCAGAAUUAUUUUCACAUCAUUUAGCUACAAGGAAGCAAGACGUAAACUAUCUCUAGCUGUUGAUCACACAGACAUUGAUCAGACCGAUGGAGGGAACUCACCCAUUACAUUUCAAAGAAAAAGAAAUAGGGUUUUGGUUUGUUUGUUUAUAUUAGUGUUUUGCACCACAUUUAAAAAUAAAAGUAUAUUUUGAAAUUGAUAAAUGUGUUGUUAGACCUAAGAACAUUCUUUUCCCUGGAGAAGAUGAUGAUAGUGAGAUGGAAGGACACCAGAAAGAACCAAAUAAAAAAAAGGGAAGGUAUUCCAUACCUGAUGCUCCAAAAAUCGCUAGACAACACAAAUUAGACCCAGGAAAGCCAAGCUGCCCAAAGCACUGCCACAGUACUCCUGACCUCCCUAUUGAUGAGAUGAAACGCAUUAAAGGAACAAAGUCAAGAAAAAGAUGGUCACAGCACUCCUGAGAUCCACUUAAGUCCCCAGACCAGCACUACUAUGUUAUCCUCCGGCUUGCAUGUUCGCUCUGAGAGCUGUACAUCAGGUAAAUCAAGCACUGAGACCCUUUCAAGGCAUGCCGACACUGAGGUCAGAAAAACAGCCCACAAAAGUAAGGAGAUCCAUAAAAAAAGGCACUCUGAACCUUCAAGGUCACACCACACCAAGGACAUCCAGCAAACAUCCAGUCACCAAAUGUCAGCUGUGAGGCGUAACCGUCUUACAUCUAAGGCAACAGAAAAAGAAAUCGAUUCCACAGUUAAAAGAUGGCUAUAUCUGGCCCCAGACAGAAUUGGUGGCCAAAAAGAGAGAAUGAAGAACAAGGUGCGCAAAGAGAGUCUGACUGGUUAACAGACUUCAGGAAUGGACUCCAGAGCUUGUUCGUUGAAAGAAUCAUUAAUGUUUUGGAGUUAUUUGAAGCGUACUACUUGUUACUGACUAUAAAAGUGGUGGCUCAAGUGUUAUGUGAAGUGAAACUUGUUGAUGACUAGAAACACGGAUGUUCAAGUGUUAUCUUGUAAUUCUUGUUAUUAACCAGGACGUUCAAGUGUUAUGCAAAGUUAUCUUGUAAAUCUUGUUAUUAACCAGGACGUUCAAGUGUUAUGCAAAGUGUGAAACUUGUUAAUGACAAACAUGGAUGUUUAAGCGUUAUAUGUGAGGUUUGAUGUUAAAUAUAAUUAAAUAUUUGUUCAAAAUACU